CCUACGGGUGGCUGCAGUGAGGAAUAUUGGUCAAUGGCCGGAAGGCUGAACCAGCCAUGCCGCGUGAAGGUCAGUGCCCUAUGGGCGUUAAACUUCUUUUGUGCGGGAGCAAUAAUGGUCACGUGUGGCCAGACGAGAGUACCGUACGAAUAAGCAUCGGCUAACUCCGUGCCAGCAGCCGCGGUAAUACGGGGGAUGCAAGCGUUAUCCGGAUUUAUUGGGUUUAAAGGGUGCGUAGGCUGUGAGGUAAGUCAGCGGUGAAAUGCCCCCGCUCAACGGGGUGAAGUGCCAUUGAUACUGCCUUGCCGGAAUGCGGAUGCCGUGGGAGGAAUGUGUGGUGUAGCGGUGAAAUGCAUAGAUAUCACACAGAACACCGAUUGCGAAGGCAGCCUGCUGGACUGUAACUGACGCUGAUGCUCGAAAGUGUGGGUAUCAAACAGGAUUAGAUACCCUAGUAGUC
rnacentral:rRNA from 1 species